rnacentral:tRNA from 1 species
GCUAGCGAAGGGCCGCCCGGGUGGCCCGCACGUUCAAACCGUGCAGGUCCCGGUAGAAGUCGGCGUUCGGCACGUCCGCCAGUCCCA